UGACAAUGCUUGCUAACAAUCGGUAUUCUG
rnacentral:piRNA from 1 species